rnacentral:rRNA from 1 species
GGUUUCCGUAGGUGAACCUGCGGAAGGAUCAUUACCGAGUGCGGGUCCUUUGGGCCCAACCUCCCAUCCCCUUCCUAUUAUACCCUGUUGCUUCGGCGGGCCCGCCGCUUGUCGGCCGCCGGGGGGGCGCCUUUGCCCCCCGGGCCCGUGCCCGCCGGAGACCCCAACACGAACACUGUCUGAAAGCGUGCAGUCUGAGUUGAUUGAAUGCAAUCAGUUAAAACUUUCAACAAUGGAUCUCUUGGUUCCGGCAUCGAUGAAGAACGCAGCGAAAUGCGAUAACUAAUGUGAAUUGCAGAAUUCAGUGAAUCAUCGAGUCUUUGAACGCACAUUGCGCCCCCUGGUAUUCCGGGGGGCAUGCCUGUCCGAGCGUCAUUGCUGCCCUCAAGCCCGGCUUGUGUGUUGGGUCGCCGUCCCCCUCUCCGGGGGGACGGGCCCGAAAGGCAGCGGCGGCACCGCGUCCGAUCCUCGAGCGUAUGGGGCUUUGUCACAUGCUCUGUAGGAUUGGCCGGCGCCUGCCGACGUUUUCCAACCAUUCUUUCCAGGUUGACCUCGGAUCAGGUAGGGAUACCCGCUGAACUUAAGCAU